UAACAUGCAACACAAUAUAAAUACAUACAAUGAGAGAAAAGUUAGAUUUGACAGAGGAGCACAAAGCUCAGGAAAAACCUGAAAUCACAUGAUGGUUUGUGCGCACAUAUCCAUACACAAAUCCACAAACACCUGUAUAAGUGUAGAGAUGCACACAUAGUGAUGUUUUUUUCCUAUCCCACCUGCAUUAUAAUUACAUACAAUGUGUU